GAUGAACGCUGGCGGCGUGCUUAACACAUGCAAGUCGAAGGGAGUGGCGAACGGGUGAGUAACACGUGAGUACCCUGUCCUUUUCUUUGGGAUAAGCUUCCGAAAGGGUGUUUCAUACCUCAUGUAAAGGGUGGGCUCGCGGUCUCUCAGCUUGUGGGUGGGGUGAUGGCUUAGCAAGGCUUGGACGGGUAGCCGGCCUGGGAGGGUGGUCGGUCACAUUGGGAGUGAGAUACGGCCCGGACUCCUGCGGGGGGCAGCAGUGGGGGAUAUUGCACAAUGGGCGCAAGCCUGAUGCAGCGACGCAGCGUGGGGGAUGAAGGCCUUCGGGUUGUAAACUUCUUUUGCACUGAACGUGUAGGGGUUGAUUAGCGCCGGCUAACUACGUGCCAGCAGCCGCGGUAAUUC
rnacentral:rRNA from 1 species